rnacentral:rRNA from 1 species
CCUACGGGGGGCAGCAGUGGGGAAUAUUGCACAAUGGGCGCAAGCCUGAUGCAGCCAUGCCGCGUGUGUGAAGAAGGCCUUCGGGUUGUAAAGCACUUUCAGCGGGGAGGAAGGCGUUAAGGUUAAUAACCUUGUCGAGUGACGUUACCCGCAGAAGAAGCACCGGCUAACUCCGUGCCAGCAGCCGCGGUAAUACGGAGGGUGCAAGCGUUAAUCGGAAUUACUGGGCGUAAAGCGCACGCAGGCGGUCUGUCAAGUCGGAUGUGAAAUCCCCGGGCUCAACCUGGGAACUGCAUUCGAAACUGGCAGGCUAGAGUCUUGUAGAGGGGGGUAGAAUUCCAGGUGUAGCGGUGAAAUGCGUAGAGAUCUGGAGGAAUACCGGUGGCGAAGGCGGCCCCCUGGACAAGGACUGACGCUCAGGUGCGAAAGCGUGGGGAGCAAACAGGAUUAGAUACCCUAGUAGUC